GGAGGGUACAGCUCAGUGGUAGAGCGCAUGCCUAGCGUACACGAGGUCCUGGGUUCAAUCCCCAGUCCCUCCA
rnacentral:tRNA from 1 species